UUAGAGAGAACAGAAACGAAAAGAAAUGAAUUAUAUAUGUGCACCUUUUCCCUAUAAAUAUUAGUUACGAAAGAAGGAAAAUUCCCCACAAUCCCUUUUGCUGUCUUUGUUCUGCUAGCAAUUAAUACAUAUCUUCCCUGAUUUAUACAUAUUGCCAGUCAGGAAUUUAAUGGCUCUUUUUAAGACAUUAGUGGUGCUCUUUGCUACAAUCAUGUUGAUGAUGUCUUCUGUUCAAGUGUUGUCUGCUGGGAAAGCUGAAACCCCAAAAGCUAAUAAGCUAGGAAGGAAAAUUGGUAAAGCCUCUUAUUAUGGUGAUGACGUUUAUGGCGGUCCAAUAGGAGGAGGAGGAUGCACCCGGUGGCACUGUCAUUAAGGCUCCAUAUUAGGAACGUAGCAGAGACAAGUGAUAUUUACAAAGCAAAUAAAUGAGCUGCACACGGUGUAUAUACACAUCAUGUCAGUUCUCUGCUACUGUUUCUGUUUGUUCAAUGGCUUGUGAGAGCAUAUAUGUACUACGUAUUAAUUGAAAACUAGCUUAAGAGAUGCCAUAAAUAAGAUAUGUUUUUUGAGUUGCA